GAUCCUGGCUUAGGAUGAACGCUAGCGGCAGGCUAACACAUGCAAGUCGAGGGGCAGCACGGGAGUAGCAAUACUUGGUGGCGACCGGCGCACGGUGAGUAACGCGUAUGCAACCUACCUAUCAGAGGGGAAUAACCCGGCGAAAGUCGGACUAAUACCGCAUAAAACAGGGGCACCGCAUGGUGAUAUUUGUUAAAGAAAUUCGCUGAUAGAUGGGCAUGCGUUCCAUUAGGUAGUUGGUGAGGUAACGGCUCACCAAGCCGACGAUGGAUAGGGGAACUGAGAGGUUGGUCCCCCACACUGGUACUGAGACACGGACCAGACUCCUACGGGAGGCAGCAGUGAGGAAUAUUGGUCAAUGGGCGGGAGCCUGAACCAGCCAAGUCGCCGUGAAGGAAGAAGGAUCUAUGGUUCGUAAACUUCUUUUGCAGGGGAAUAAAGUGCAGGACGUGUCCUGUUUUGUAUGUACCCUGAGAAUAAGGAUCGGCUAACUCCGUGCCAGCCGCCGC
rnacentral:rRNA from 1 species